UACAUAAAAUUUGUCGUUGACCGCCUUUUGGUUGCCCUUGGGUAUGAGAGGAAAUACAACGUGGAAAAUCCAUUUGAUUGGAUGGAGUUUAUUUUUUUACAGUGA